rnacentral:rRNA from 1 species
GACGAACGCUGGCGGCACGCUUAACACAUGCAAGUCGAACGGUGAAGAGAAGCUUGCUUCUUGGAUCAGUGGCGGACGGGUGAGUAACACGUGAGCAACCUGCCUUUAAGAGGGGGAUAACGUCCGGAAACGGACGCUAAUACCGCAUAACAUAUGGGAUUCGCAUGUUUUCCAUAUCAAAGAUUUAUCGCUUAGAGAUGGGCUCGCGUCUGAUUAGCUAGUUGGUGAGGUAACGGCUCACCAAGGCGACGAUCAGUAGCCGGACUGAGAGGUUGAACGGCCACAUUGGGACUGAGACACGGCCCAG